GCUUAAGGAAGCCUCUUUGAAGGACCUCUUUUGAAAGACUGAGAUGGCUGAAACAUAAACCGAUCUUUCACUUAAAAUUGAACCUGCAAUCAAGAAAAUGCCAGGGUGAUAGUCUGACACCAAUUCUUAAAAAUAAUUUCUCUGGGGUUUUAUAAGUUUUCAGACCAGUAGAUCUGAUGUGGACACCUACCAGGAAGAUUUGUAUUAAAAACAAACAAACAAAAACCAAACCCCACUGUAACAGAAUAAAAAUACUGUGUGUGAUGUCAGGAAGGGGGCAAUGUGCCUUUUGUAAGAGGAAGAUCCGUAGACAUCUCUUAGGGAUACAGAAAGAGAGCGGACAAGAGGGAUUCAGUUUGUCCUCUUAGAUUUACGACUGAGAGUCAACAAGGUGUCUCACCAAAGGCUUGUAAAGAAACUAAUCAGUAUGAGAUAAAGCAGAAAGGCUCACAAAGGUACCAAAAAUGCAUUAAAGAGGAGUAAAUGCCCAGUUCUCUGAGAUGGAGGGGCAUCUGCACUUAUUCCUGAGUAAUGAGGUGACAAAGUCAGUUGGAAUUAACAUUAAUUCAGUGUCCAUCUAAUAAAAUGUAAUUCAGGAAUAAUUCAGUGGGCUUGAGCUCCUCUGCUGGGAAAGGAGUUGACUGCAACACGGAGCAACUGGUGUGGGAGGUCAUGGUAGCUACGUCCACUGAAAGAACAAGGGGGUGUGAAACGAAACUGGCAGGAGGCAAGUUUCGUGUAAAGGGUGGCUCUUUAUGCACUGUGUUACAACACUACGGGACCUUUUGCCACUGGAUAUUUCAGUUGCUGAAAUUCCUUUGGAUACCAGAAGUGAUUAUGCCAAUUCGUGCAAGAAUUUGACUUGGGAGGGAGCGAGGAAAGGGGAACUUAAGCCUUCGCUUGCCCACGUUAUGUUCUCCAGCAAGGAGCAAGUGGGGCGAUUUGGUAGGAACUGAGGAGUCUUUAUAUACCUCUGUAUGGCGGAGGCACCGAUGUUUUCCAGCAGGUGGGGGUCCCCAGAGAAAAUCUGUAGCAUUUUAUUUUAGAAAAUGGUGUCCUCUGUGUGUGUACGCAUCCAUGCACAUGUGCAACCGUAUAAUGCAGUGGAGGUCUAAAAGAACAAGGUGCCGUGUGCCUGUCUCCAUGGGCCUGGGGUUGGCCAGCGAGAGCAACUGCACAGGUGCACAGAUGCAGAAAAAGAGUGAAAAAAAAAAUCAAACUUCUGUUCAACUUCUUAAAUCCUUUGCUAGGUGGUCCACAAAAGCACCUGAUUUCAACCUGCAGGCUGAUUUCUGUUUUGAAGAUCUUCAGUUUUCUCCUCAGCUCUGUGCCUGCUGGACUAAAACCACCAAACCCAGGUGCUGGCUGGCCACUGCUCCUCGUGUUCAGAUGGUGUCUUUUCUGUUGUAGGAAGAGAUCGGUGGGCUAAUGAAUGCCUGGUGGAGCCGAGAUCUGCACGGUGCCAUGGAAAUGAGCACUGUGGAACUCAUCGUUUCAUAUUAAUCUCUUAAAAACGUAUUUAAAUAAUGUUUUCUAAUGGUAAAACUCAGAGAAGUCGUUUGUCACAUGGAGCUUCUUACUGUGUCUUCAGUCAAGAAAAUGAUGUGAAAAUACUUUCAGCCAUCCCCAUGAACAUUUGUCUCAGAUUAACUUUCCAUAAUUACCAAACAUAAUUUGAAUAAUUGUGUUUUUGUUUUUUUUCCACACUUAUGACUACAUUACAGGAAGCACUCCUUUUGACUACGUCACAGAAAGCACACCAGGACUGGAAGGUCUGCAGGGAAGCGGUGCCAUGGUCGGGAGCUCAGUCAUCCUCCAGCAUCAAGGUUUCACACCCAGGCACUAAAUGCCUGUUUUUGGCAGUAAACCACCCAGUCAUAAACCACCAGUGCCGAGGUGAUCUGGACUACCUGGAAGAUUUCCUUGCAACAAGAGCAAGAGAAGUUUUUGCCAAAAGAGAUGAAGAAACUCCAUAAAUAAUUUUUGCAGUUAUAGAGCAAGCAAGUAUAGCACUAGCAAACACAGAAUAAGUAAUGUGUUAGAGGUCAUAGCCCUAGGUAGCGUUGUAAAUUAUGAAAACACCUGUGAAACUGCUUCCAGUUUCAUAAGGCAUUUACUGUGUUCAGUAGAACACUGAAAGGACAAUGAAGCUACAUUUGAGGCUCUGU